AAGCGAGGAAGCUUUGGAUAAUUGGUAGCUUGAGUUGAGAGCACCUCUGGAGGGGAUCAUGGAGGAGGAGCGGAAGGUGGAUGCAGCGGCCUUUGGUUUCCCGGGGCCGGUGCGCCCGGGGGUCACGCGUGUCGGGUGGAUCGGCAUCGGCGUCAUGGGCGGCGCCAUGGCUAAGCACCUCCUCGCGGCUGGGUUUGCAGUCACUGUGUACGCUCGCACGCCGGCCAAGGCGGAGAGCCUUGUCGCCGCUGGCGCGAGCCUCGCGGACUCGCCGGCGGCCGUGGCUGCUGCAUCCGAUGUGGUGUUCACUAUGGUCGGAAACCCCGGCGACGUCCGCGCGGUGGUUCUGGACCCCACCACGGGCGCCCUCGCCGGCCUCCGCCCUGGCGGCGUGCUGGUGGACUGCACGAGCUCCUCCCCUUCCCUCGCGCGCGAGAUCGCCGCGGCCGCAAGCGCGACAGGCUGCUACGCCGUCGACGCGCCAGUCUCGGGGGGCGACGUCGGCGCCCGCGACGGGACGCUGGCCAUCUUCGCCGGCGGCGACGAGGCCGUGGUCGCCUGGCUCGCCCCGCUCUUCGCCCACCUCGGCAAGGCGACCCACAUGGGUGCGCCCGGCAGCGGCCAGAGCAGCAAGAUCGCCAACCAGAUCGCGGUGGCCGGCGCGGUGGUGGGCCUGGGCGAGUCCGUGGCCUUUGCCAACGCCGCGGGGCUCGACGCGCCGCUGUUCCUCGACGCGGUGUCCAAGGGCGCGGCGGGCUCGCGCGUCAUGGACAUCUUCGGCGACCACGUGCUGCGCCGCGAGUUCGGGUACGGGGGCAGCGUGCGUUACAUCGUCAAGGACCUCGGCAUGGCGCUGGAGGUCGGGGACGGUCAGGAGGAGACGAAUGUGCUGCCCGGAGCCGCGCUGUACCGCCAGAUGUUCACCGCUAUGGUGGCCAAUGGCGACGGCGACCUGAGCUUGCAGGGACUGAUCACCGUCGUUGAGCGCCUGAACGGCAUUGGCAAAUAAGUCAUCUUAUCCCUUCUUCCCUCUCAAAAAUCUUCAGCAAAGGGUUAGCAGGAGAGGAGCAGCUGAGCAAGAAUGGCAGCACCGGGCUCGCUAGGACUUCUCCAUGCCCCGUCCUUCACCGCUGCCAAGUGCCAGCCGGUGGCGAGCCGAGCAGGUGCGCGGCGAGCACCACGACCACUGUUCGCCGUGCGUGCUUCGGCUGCUGACGCCGCCAACAAGGACGCCGUCCUAAGGGCCUUCCGCGAGAACAGGGCUCUCAAGAUCAUCUCUGGGCUACAAAACUUCGACAGGAGCAGUGUUGCAUCUGUUGUCACAGCUGCAGAUAAGGGAGGUGCCACCCAUGUUGACAUAGCAUGUGCUGAGGACCUAGUAAAGCUUGCUCUGGACCUUACCACCCUUCCGAUUUGCGUCUCAUCUGUAGAUCCUUCAGCGUUCCAUUCUGCAGUACAAGCUGGAGCCAAAAUGGUUGAGAUUGGAAACUAUGAUUCCUUUUACGAGACGGGCAUCGAGUUCUCUUCUGACCAGAUACUGAAGCUGACAAGGGAAACAAGGAAGAUGCUUCCAGACAUCACCUUAUCAGUAACAGUUCCUCACACACUGAGCCUGCCAGAUCAGAUGAGACUUGCAGAGCUACUCGAAGAGGAAGGCGCUGAUAUCAUCCAAACUGAAGGCGGAAAAUGUUCUAGCCCUACAAAGCCUGGAGUGCUGGGAUUAAUUGAAAAGGCAACACCAACACUGGCCGCAGCGUACUCCAUCUCCAGGGCUGUCAGCAUUCCAGUGAUGUGCUCGUCAGGGUUAAGCUCGGUAACAGCACCAAUGGCCGUAACUGCAGGAGCUGCUGGAGUGGGAGUCGGUUCUGCUGUUAACAAACUCAACGACGUUGUGGCGAUGAUCGCAGAGGUGAGAAGCAUCGCACAAGCAAUGGGUCUGGACUCGAGAAACGUGCCUGAAAACUUGAGAACAGUUCAUCACUAGUGGCUAGGAGUCAAUCUUUUGCCUUUUCUUCUCGAACUUGAACAGUCAAUAAGAAAGCAGAGGAUGCAGCCGCUCUGCAUUUUCUCUCUGCUGCCUUUUGCCGUGGCUGUGGGUGAAAAGCACCAUAGUAGAAGUGCUGCCUUGAUCGAUAGAAGUUGUAUUGUUGUAAAGACCUCAAUGCAUGUGCCGCUGGAUCGCUGCAAGUAGUCUUUUUUGGGGACAUGGUUUGUGCAAUGAAAAUGAGAUCGUGCUCUUGCAAAUUUGACUC